AACGAUGAAGGCCCUUCGGGGUGGAUUAGUGGCGAACGGGUGAGUAACACGUGGGCAAUCUGCCCUGCACUCUGGGAUAAGCCUGGGAAACUGGGUCUAAUACCGGAUAUGAGCUUCCACCGCAUGGUGGAGGUUGGAAAGUUUUUCGGUGCAGGAUGAGCCCGCGGCCUAUCAGCUAGUUGGUGGGGUAACGGCCUACCAAGGCGACGACGGGUAGCCGGCCUGAGAGGGUGAUCGGCCACACUGGGACUGAGACACGGCCCAGACUCCUACGGGAGGCAGCAGUGGGGAAUAUUGCACAAUGGGCGAAAGCCUGAUGCAGCGACGCCGCGUGAGGGAUGACGGCCUUCGGGUUGUAAACCUCUUUCAGCAGGGACGAAGCGCAAGUGACGGUACCUGCAAAAGAAGCACCGGCUAACUACGUGCCAGCAGCCGCGGUAAUACGUAGGGUGCGAGCGUUGUUCGGAUUUACUGGGCGUAAAGAGCUCGUAGGCGGACUGUCGCGUCGCCUGUGAAAGCCCGUGGCUCAACCACGGGUCUGCAGGCGAUACGGGCAGACUAGAGUACUGCAGGGGAGACUGGAAUUCCUGGUGUAGCGGUGGAAUGCGCAGAUAUCAGGAGGAACACCGGUGGCGAAGGCGGGUCUCUGGGCAGUAACUGACGCUGAGGAGCGAAAGCGUGGGGAGCGAACAGGAUUAGAUACCCUGGUAGUCCACGCUGUAAACGGUGGGCGCUAGGUGUGGGUUUCCUUCCAUGAAAUCCGUGCCGUAGCUAACGCAUUAAGCGCCCCGCCUGGGGAGUACGGCCGCAAGGCUAAAACUCAAAGAAAUUGACGGGGGC
rnacentral:rRNA from 1 species